rnacentral:rRNA from 1 species
GACGAACGCUGGCGGCGUGCCUAAUACAUGCAAGUAGAACGCUGAAGGAGGAGCUUGCUUCUCUGGAUGAGUUGCGAACGGGUGAGUAACGCGUAGGUAACCUGCCUGGUAGCGGGGGAUAACUAUUGGAAACGAUAGCUAAUACCGCAUAAUAGUAGAUGUCGCAUGACAUUUGCUUAAAAGGUGCAAUUGCAUCACUACCAGAUGGACCUGCGUUGUAUUAGCUAGUUGGUGAGGUAACGGCUCACCAAGGCAACGAUACAUAGCCGACCUGAGAGGGUGAUCGGCCACACUGGGACUGAGACACGGCCCAGACUCCUACGGGAGGCAGCAGUAGGGAAUCUUCGGCAAUGGACGGAAGUCUGACCGAGCAACGCCGCGGGAGUGAAGAAGGGUUUCGGAUCGUAAAGCUCGGUUGUAAGAGAAGAACGAGUGUGAGAGUGGAAAGUUCACACUGUGACGGUAUCUGACCAGAAAGGGACGGCUAACUACGUG